GCCCGCCUAUUUUUUGGUCAAAACUUAAAUUUCCCUCUUUUCACAAAACUCCUCAUUUUAUCUUGGAGAAAGAAAUAAAGGGUUCAGAUUCCACCUCUCUCUUCUCUCAGAGGCCCAGCUCCACAGCUCCUGUGCUCUUCACCUCUCUCUUCUUUCGACUUUGCCCGCCUCAGCUUGUCAAAACGACAAAACCUAAACUGCAGUCGCCAUCUCUCCUCUCUCUCUCUCUCUCUCUCUCUCUAGUCUCUCCGGAACGGUCCCUCUCCCUCUCAGCCUCUCUCCUCGGCCGUCGAUGGCCCUCGCUCUCCUCAACGGUGACUCCGGUGACGUUUAAAUUGAGAUGGGUUCGUGAAGCGGCUCCCUCCAACUAGUUCGCAAGAAGGAGCUCUCCGACUACCAGUAUAGUCCUUUUAAUCCUCGUAUGUCCCUCUCUCAAAAACUCGAUCUGUCCUUGAAAUUUCUUUUGUUUUUUUUUAUUCGAUUGAUUCGAUCUGUCAUGAUUCAUUCGGUUGAUUUGAUGUGUGAAACAAUGGAUUUCUUUCUGCUUUUGGGUGUCUGAUAUAUCAAUUUGUUGAUUGGUAUACUUGUAUUUCUUCUGCUUUGUUCAAAAUUGUGGACUGUUUCGACUCGUGUAACUAAAGAUCAAAUCUUUGUUCGAUUUGAUUGAUGAAAGACUAUGUUGAAGAUGUUAAUGGCUUUAGUGGUGAGGAGGAGGAGCUCUCGGUUUCAAGAGGUGGGCCCGUCUACAUUGAGAUCAGUCUGAGUGGUCCUCUCACCAGUGUCGGUCUCUUCCAGUCUUCUAUUCUCCAAGAGCUUCAGGUGAGCUUUGUUUUGUUCUACUUUGCUAGUAUUCUGAUAGAGCCAAUUACAAAGUUGUUUGAUGUUGAACUUGGAGUUGGCUUCAAGUUCAUCGCAACUUAUUCAAAGAGGUAGAUUGGGGCCUAUAGUCCACCCUUAACACCCUAUAUAUAUAUAUAUAUAUAUAUAUAUAUAUAUAUAUAUAUAUAUAUAUAUAUAUAUAUAUAUCAUUUAGCAAAUUAGAGAGCAUAUUUGAGAAUGAUGAACGUUUCAAAGUAGUUGAAAGAGAUAGAGACCGCAGGAUUUUUUUGAUAGCUAUUUGGAGGAACUUCAGAAGAAAAUAUCAUAGAUCAACAUGUUCAUAAGGGAACUAAUCUAUAGCCAGUUCCUGACAAGGAGCACUCAUGCUGAAGGUUCUUAAUAAAGGUUAGAUACCAGCUUUUAUGAGGUUUUAGAGCCUUCUUCAGUGUACAAUCAAAGACAAAUGACACUUAAAAGAAAGAGUACAGGGAAGCAAAAUGAUGUACCAUUUAGUUCCCCUUUUUCUGUAUUGCAAUAUUGAAAUCGAUCUUAUAUAUGGUACUUAAUUGAAUUUGCUCUAUUUGUGUUUUCAGAUUUGGUCAAUAACCUUGGUGCCAUUGCAAGGUCUAGCACCAAGGAAUUCAUGGAAGUCUAGGCUGCUGGAGCUGAUGUUAGCAUGACUGGUCAGUUUGGUGUCGGGUUCUACUGUGGAUAUCUUGUUGCUGAGAAGGAAAAGGAAGGAAAGGUAUAGAGUUCGGAAGUUGAUGAAGACGUACAAGGAAGUGGACUAGUACAAUAUGUUUCUGGCCUUGAUGUUUUUGGGCUUUAUGUUUAGGUAGGGUUAGUAUGUUAAUGUUGGGGUGAUGAUGGAAUGAAUUGGUUUUGAAUGUUUAAUCAAUGGAUAUGUUUUUGAAUGUUGGUGAA